GCUGUAUUACAAAAAUUAGACCAACUUUUACCACCAACCCUUUCAGUCACCGAUAUCAAAGCAUCGAGUUGCACGAACGACAAAAUAAAUUGUUUAAAAGUCGAAUCUUUCCUUUUUUUUCCAUUUUACAGGAGGAGCUCAUCUUUAUUGAGAGGCUCGAUGAUGAAAUUCAAAUUUAUUCUCGUUCAAGCGACUCGACUCUGGUUUGAAUACUGGCAAGUGACGAAAAGAGAAAAAGCAAUCCAUGCAAAUGACCAGCUAGUCCAUACCGAUCGGCAAUUAACAUUCAAAAUUCUCAAUGCUAAUGAAAAACACUACUGAAGAGGUUUAGAAUGCAAAUUGUACUAUCACGUUUGGAGUAUACGAGGAGGAACAUGCGUUUAGUGCACGAUGCUGAAUUAAAUGUACCAGAGGUGUUAUUUACGAUGGUGUUUUAAGAAUUAGUAUAGUCAACACUCGGAAGCAAAUUUAGCGGCUGAAAAAUAAGACAACGGUGAAG